GACGAACGCUGGCGGCGUGCUUAACACAUGCAAGUCGAACGGAAAGGCCCUGCUUUUGUGGGGUGCUCGAGUGGCGAACGGGUGAGUAACACGUGAGUAACCUGCCCUUGACUUUGGGAUAACUUCAGGAAACUGGGGCUAAUACCGGAUAGGAGCUCCUGCUGCAUGGUGGGUGUUGGAAAGUUUCGGCGGUUGGGGAUGGACUCGCGGCUUAUCAGCUUGUUGGUGGGGUAGUGGCUUACCAAGGCUUUGACGGGUAGCCGGCCUGAGAGGGUGACCGGCAACAUUGGGACUGAGAUACGGCCCAGACUCCUACGGGAGGCAGCAGUGGGGAAUAUUGCACAAUGGGCGGAAGCCUGAUGCAGCAACGCCGCGUGCGGGAUGACGGCCUUCGGGUUGUAAAACGCUUUCGCCUGUGACGAAGCGUGAGUGACGGUAAUGGGUAAAGAAGCACCGGCUAACUACGUG
rnacentral:rRNA from 1 species